ACGGCGGAAGGAUCCGGGAGGCGCCCUGGCGGCCCCAAUGAGAAAGGCCGGUUUUCCUCCUGGGCUGCAAUGACGUCAUGGUGUUAACCUGCAUUUGGGGCGGGUCCUUAAGGAAUUGUUAACAUUGGGAGAUGUGGCUGUCACCUCCAAGGAGACCUCCAGUCUCCAAGGAGACCCCGGUGCCCUUCACAGCAGGAUCUGUGCAGGGAUGUGCUGCCGGACAACCAGAGGAACCUGGCCUGCCUGGGUCAGCAGAGAUUGCCCUUGUCUCCCAAUCUGUGAAGGGCUUUCCUUUCUUUCUUGGACUUGUAAUUUCCAAACCAGAUAUGAUAUACCAAUAGGAACAAGGAAUAAAACUUGGGAUGCCAAAGGGAGAUGUCUGA